rfam:Cavia porcellus supercont2_18 genomic scaffold, whole genome shotgun sequence.
GGGGAUUUAGCUCAUCGGCAUAAGCACCUGCCUUGCAAGCAGGCAAGUCGUGAGUUCAAUCCCCG